GAGUGGGUGGUGUAAUAAAGCAUGUGCGGUUUCGGGUCGUGAGGAACUUAUUUUGUCUCACUCU
rnacentral:tRNA from 1 species